UCCAAUUGAUCCUCCCAGGAACCAAGAGGCGACCAGCCUCGCGGCAGCUGUACAUUAAACGCAAAGUCAAGGGGGGGAAAGGGCUCGCGGGACAGAAGUAGAAAAAGAAAUGAAAAUUGACACCGGAUGAACAGCGAGCUCGGGGAGAGGAAGAAACUUCGGUGACCGUGUGCCCCAGAGCAGAUCAAAGUCCGGGGAAGAGCCGCAACCUCACGCGGCCUCGGCCACUUGUCCUGCAUUGUUCCCGGCUGAGUGGACGGAGGAGUUGGUGCUGCCGCAGCUUGCUCACCGAAGUACCGGCUCCCAGGACACAACGAACACCCCCGAUGGAUAUUAAAUCAGCGCUGUGGCUCACUGGCCCGGCGACUGACAAAUGGAGUCGGACCUGGAAUCCAGUCGUGGCUUUACCCCUCACUAUCUUGGAGACCCUAGUCACUUUCUUUACUUCCCAAAACGUUCAUCAUCUGAAACGGAGAGAACCCAGUCUCUUAGAAUUGUGAUGAUUAAAGCAGAUCAGAAUGAAGAUGAUAAUGUGCAGCAUUGCUGGAAAGAUCGAAUGAGAUAAAGACUAAUGUGCUUAGUGCAUUUCCUGGCACACAGUAGACACCCAGUAAAUGGUGAUGUCAUUUAUUUUUGCCUCCACCUCACCCGCACAGCGGAAUUCAAGAGAGAGACACAACGAGAGAGGGAACACAAGCAGUGGGAGUGGGAGAGGGAGAAGCAGGCCCCCACGCCAAGCAGGGAGCCCGAGAUGCGGGGCUUUGACCCCAGGACCACGACCCGAGCUGAAGGCAGAUGCCCAACAACUAAGCCACUCCGGUGCCCCUUGUCUGUCUGUUUUUAAAUGGACUUUUUUUUUUUUUAACAGUACAUGUUGACAGCAGAGAAACUAGAAGAAAAGUCAGAUUUCAGAUUGGUGAACUGGGGGAAAAAGUUUAUUAAUGUGCCUGGUUUUCCCACGCAAGAUUCUGCAAUGUCUUGCAGCACUAGAAGUAAAGAAGAGAUAGCUUUAAGUCAGAGGAAGCAUCGGCGGUCCCAGAUAGGAAUAGAUGUGAAGCAAACUGCAGCAUGUAUGACAUGAGGGAAUAAAACUUGGGGAUUUCUGAGUUCUCGCCUUUCAAUCUCCCUCAACUCCAAGCUUGAUCCUCCUGAGAAAACCCUUAUGACUUACCCCUUUUGGGCCUCACUUUCAGUAUCUUUAAAAAUAAAAGCUAUUCAUACCUUUCACUUGUCUGUGGUGGAUAGAGGCAAAGAAAAAAACAGUUGAUCAAAGUAGACUUUGAAUUCUUGUUGAAGGACUCUGUAGUUAUUACAUUUGUGGGGCUUGAAAUGUUAAAGGAGCAGUUACCUUUGAAAAUAAAACACAGGCUAGCUGGAUACUGAAUCUGACAGUAUUUGCUAACCCCAGUACCUAUCAAGACCCUAAAAUUCACCAAAGACAACCAGUGGCGUGAUGGUUAGAAAUAUCUUUACACCAAGACUAUUAUUCUGGGCAAAGAAGUUUCAUCCCCAACAAUAAUACCUAUAAUCAGAGGGUAUUCCAGGUCCAGAGAAAACCCAUGAAAAAGCC